UGCAAGUCGAGCGGUAGCACAGAGAGCUUGCUCUCGGGUGACGAGCGGCGGACGGGUGAGUAAUGUCUGGGAAACUGCCUGAUGGAGGGGGAUAACUACUGGAAACGGUAGCUAAUACCGCAUAACGUCGCAAGACCAAAGUGGGGGACCUUCGGGCCUCAUGCCAUCAGAUGUGCCCAGAUGGGAUUAGCUAGUAGGUGGGGUAACGGCUCACCUAGGCGACGAUCCCUAGCUGGUCUGAGAGGAUGACCAGCCACACUGGAACUGAGACACGGUCCAGACUCCUACGGGAGGCAGCAGUGGGGAAUAUUGCACAAUGGGCGCAAGCCUGAUGCAGCCAUGCCGCGUGUGUGAAGAAGGCCUUCGGGUUGUAAAGCACUUUCAGCGGGGAGGAAGGCGGUGAGGUUAAUAACCUUGUCGAUUGACGUUACCCGCAGAAGAAGCACCGGCUAACUCCGUGCCAGCAGCCGCGGUAAUACGGAGGGUGCAAGCGUUAAUCGGAAUUACUGGGCGUAAAGCGCACGCAGGCGGUCUGUCAAGUCGGAUGUGAAAUCCCCGGGCUCAACCUGGGAACUGCAUUCGAAACUGGCAGGCUAGAGUCUUGUAGAGGGGGGUAGAAUUCCAGGUGUAGCGGUGAAAUGCGUAGAGAUCUGGAGGAAUACCGGUGGCGAAGGCGGCCCCCUGGACAAAGACUGACGCUCAGGUGCGAAAGCGUGGGGAGCAAACAGGAUUAGAUACCCUGGUAGUCCACGCUGUAAACGAUGUCGAUUUGGAGGUUGUGCCCUUGAGGCGUGGCUUCCGGAGCUAACGCGUUAAAUCGACCGCCUGGGGAGUACGGCCGCAAGGUUAAAACUCAAAUGAAUUGACGGGGGCCCGCACAAGCGGUGGAGCAUGUGGUUAAUUCGAUGCAACGCGAAGACCUUACCUGGUCUUGACUCCACAGACUUUCCAGAGAUGGAUUGGUGCCUUCGGGACUGUGAAACGGUGCUGCUGGCUGUCGUCACUCGGGU
rnacentral:rRNA from 1 species